UCUAAUAAAAAACGCGGACGGUGCUUCCAAUCCCAACCUCGCAUUUUCAUUUCCCAAAUCUCUCUCUCUCUCUCUCUCUCACAGUAGAAGCAGCAUGACCAGCUCCUCCGCCCCUUCUCGGAAGGCUCUGAGCAAGAUCGCCUGCAACAGACUCCAGAAAGAACUGGUGGAAUGGCAGGUGAACCCUCCCUCCGGUUUCAAGCACAAGGUCACCGAUAACCUCCAAAGAUGGAUUAUCGAAGUCAUUGGCGCUCCUGGGACUCUCUACACCAACGAAACGUACCAGCUUCAAGUUGAUUUCCCUGAGCAUUACCCCAUGGAAGCACCUCAGGUUAUAUUUCUGCAACCGGCACCUCUGCAUCCUCACAUUUACAGCAACGGCCACAUCUGUUUAGAUAUUCUGUACGAUUCGUGGUCCCCAGCCAUGACUGUGAGUUCCAUCUGUAUCAGCAUUCUCUCCAUGUUGUCAAGCUCGACUGUGAAGCAACGCCCUGCAGACAAUGACCGUUACGUGAAGAACUGUAGGAACGGUAGAUCUCCGAAGGAAACCAGAUGGUGGUUCCAUGACGAUAAAGUGUAGAAAACAUGAUACAUCUAGAAUAGAUCCGAUGUAGGCAUUCCAAUGCCCGUACAUGGAGUUCAGAUUCGGACCAAGUGUUCAUAAGCUGCUGCUGUAAAUUUGCAUGCCUGGUAUUUGUAAAGGAAGAGUAGUCUGUGUUUAAGCGAAAUAUGAGGAUCCACUGAUGUGAUACUUGGUGGAGGACGACGACAAUGGUUGAUGAUGAUGGUGUCACUGACGGUGAUGAUUUCUUUCAAUUUGUAAGGUUUGGAUGAAAGACAGGCUCAGAUGUGUUAUUUUGGUAUCGUUGAUGGUAGGGGGUCUGAAGUAGGAAGAUAUUGUAGCAGUCAUAGCAGCGUAGAGGCUCAAUGCCUAUUAAUUUACAGGGUGGUCAUUGAGCCAGGCUUAAGUCCAAAAGGCUUGGACACAUGCUGAGGAUUAUGUCAUAUAUGGCUCGGGAAAUUAAUUGAUA